rnacentral:rRNA from 1 species
CACGUAGGGUGCGAGCGUUGUCCGGAAUUAUUGGGCGUAAAGAGCUCGUAGGCGGUGUGUCGCGUCGGCCGUGAAAACCUGCAGCUUAACUGUGGGCUUGCGGUCGAUACGGGCAUCACUGGAGUUCGGCAGGGGAGACUGGAAUUCCUGGUGUAGCGGUGAAAUGCGCAGAUAUCAGGAGGAACACCGGUGGCGAAGGCGGGGUCUCUGGGCAGUAACUGACGCUGGAGGAGCGAAAGCGUGGGGAGCGAACAGG